AACGUAGGAGACAAACGUUAUCCGGAGUUACUGGGCGUAAAGGGCGUGCAGGUGGUCUGUUAAGUCUGGCGUGAAAGCUCUCGGCUAAACCGGGAGAGGUCGUUGGAUACUGGCGGACUAGAGGACGGUAGAGGCGUGUGGAAUUCCGGGUGUAGUGGUGAAAUGCGCAGAUAUCGGGAGGAACACCAAUGGCGAAGGCAGCUCGCUGGGACGGUACUGACGCUGAGACGCGAAAGCGUGGGGAGCAAACAGG
rnacentral:rRNA from 1 species